rnacentral:rRNA from 1 species
CCUACGGGUGGCAGCAGUGAGGAAUAUUGGUCAAUGGACGAGAGCCUGAACCAGCCAAGUAGCGUGAAGGAUGACUGCCCUAUGGGUUGUAAACUUCUUUUAUAAAGGAAUAAAACGAGGCACGCGUGCCUUUUCGCAUGUACUCUAUGAAUAAGGAUCGGCUAACUCCGUGCCAGCAGCCGCGGUAAUACGGAGGAUCCGAGCGUUAUCCGGAUUUAUUGGGUUUAAAGGGAGCGUAGAUGGGUUGUUAAGUCAGUUGUGAAAGUUUGCGGCUCAACCGUAAAAUUGCAAUUGAUACUGGCAGUCUUGAGUACAGUUGAGGUAGGCGGAAUUCGUGGUGUAGCGGUGAAAUGCUUAGAUAUCACGAAGAACCCCGAUUGCGAAGGCAGCUUACUAAACUGUGACUGACAUUGAUGCUCGAAAGUGUGGGUAUCAAACAGGAUUAGAUACCCUGGUAGUC